rnacentral:lncRNA from 1 species
CCCCGAUGGUUUUUUUUUUUUUUUUAACUUUUUUGCUUCCUUAUAGAAUUUGGGGACCUUAAAGUCCCUCUCUGUACUUGUAGUUGCCCUAGGUGCCCUUGAGCAAGUCAGAGGAGACCAGAGAAGCUUUCAAAUCCAAAACUUCUGGUGGGGCAAACCUUGGUUUCCUGCCCCAGUGUAGAGGCCUGGCAGCCCUUCCCUUGCACACAGGCCCUCCUCCCAGGCAUACCCUCACCUUUGCCCAGUGCUAUUAACACUGACUCACGGAUCAAAGGACACCCCAGCAAGGAUUCUUGACCAUGGAGAGCUUCAAAGUGUGGAACUCAAGAAGUCAUAGGCAAACCUUUGUAUAUUUGCAUUUUCUUGGAAACAGAAUCCUCAGAGAUGGCUCACCCUCUGGACAGAUUGUUCCCUGUUGCUGCCGCCGCACGCCAGAUCCACCGAAGGGACAGGGUGUCUGAGGAGGCUGAGGAGAGACUGCAGGGAUCCAACCUCUCCGGAUCCCAGGCCAGAGCACAGCGCCCCUCCCUGCCGGGGAGAAGCCCUGCUGGGCUCCUGAACGCCAGGCAGGAAAUUGGAAUGCAGCAAUCACAGUGGAAGGCAGCUGUAACUCUCGUUAAAGUGACAUCAACCCCACCGAGGGAGGAUGCUAUAAAUCCAGGGAAAGGGGGCAUUCAUCCAGGGAGAGCCACAAAAGCAAAGAAAAAAACCCACUUGCGGCUACAGCAGAUUUCUGGCUCAAGCUGACCCCAAGAUGCCAGUGUGCAGACUUCUGAGACAACCAGGUCCCUCAGGAGCCAUCAUUCACAGCUGUGCAAAGGCUGGUGGGCACAGCUGGGAUGGUAGGUGGUUGUCUCCCAUCAGCAAGAGUUUAUGGAAGAGAUCUUGUCUGCAAGAGGAGGAGGAGAAAAAAGGCAGAGGAAUCCCUCACUUCAAAUGAGGUUAUGGAGAUGCGUAAAAUGUGGGCAACAGUGCAAAAUUUUGUGGAAAAACACCACCCGAAUAAAGCUGUAGCAGUGCGAGCAAUGAAUCUGUCUAACCACAAUACAAUGUCUCAUUUCUGCGAAAUCCUCAAAAGGAGGCAAAAGCAAGUGUCACUGGAUAGGUUCUUUGUUAGAUUUGCAUGAAAAGAAAAAGACCCCAUUGAGCCAACAGAUA